rnacentral:lncRNA from 1 species
ACUUAACCUCUCUGAGUCUCUGUAAAAUGGAGGGAAAAAAUGCUUCUCUGGAAGAGUGGUUAAAUACUUGAAAGAGGCAAUGGAACUGUCUUAUGACUAGAGCAUAGUAGGUGCUUAACAAACAGUAGCUUAUUUCUGGCAUUAUAAUUAGAUGAGGGGAAGGUCCCUCCUAGCACAGACCCUGGAAGAUUCUAUGACUCAGGGAGUGGGCAGAUUGCAUCCAUGGUCCCUGCCCUCAUUUGUAGCUACCUGAAGGGCCUGUCUCAGCAAUAAAAACAGCCAAGUGAGCACAGGCAGAGAAACAUCAUUUCCUCCUCCUCUUGAGGGCAGGAGUCCAGGCGCAGCCCCAGCAGCAGGUUGGAAUAAAUGCAGAUGCUGCAAAUUGAUGGAGGCCUGAUGUCUUCCAGAGUGGAGAUAAAGGCUGGCUGAGGAAUCAAUGAGGCCAGGAAGAGGGCUCAGCUGAGCAACUGAUCAAAGCAUCCCUCUUCAGGAAGGAGCUUCCUGUGUUUUCUCUGGGAACUCACCUGUUUUCCACUCCAGACUCUCCAAGAUAUGCAGAGCUUUGGGCCAGGAUCCUACAGCCACGGGUCAUGCAGAGCCAGUUGGCCACAUCCUUUGGGCCAAAUUUGGUCCUAACCAGGUCUUACCACGGUAACUGCUAACCAGUCCAUCUUCAGUUAUUAUUUCAUGCGAAUUGUUGAACAUCUUACCAUUUAAUCCAGAAGUUAUGUCCUUUAACGAAUCGACCCUGAGCCUGUGAGUUUUAUUUUGGGUUGGGGGUGAAGGAGUGGACCUU